rnacentral:rRNA from 1 species
AGAGUUUGAUCAUGGCUCAGGACGAACGCUGGCGGCGUGCUUAACACAUGCAAGUCGAGCGGGGUGAGAGAGCUUGCUCUCAAACCUAGCGGCGGACGGGUGAGUAACACGUGGGUAAUCUGCCCUCAAGUGGGGAAUAACACAGAGAAAUCUGUGCUAAUACCGCAUAAAGUAUGCUAAUCGCAUGAUAGGCAUAAAAAAGAUUUAUUGCUUGAGGAUGAGCCCGCGGCCCAUUAGCUAGUUGGUGAGGUAAUGGCCCACCAAGGCGACGAUGGGUAGCCGACCUGAGAGGGUGAUCGGCCACAUUGGAACUGAGACACGGUCCAGACUCCUACGGGAGGCAGCAGUGGGGAAUAUUGCACAAUGGAGGAAACUCUGAUGCAGCAACGCCGCGUGAGCGACGAAGGCCUUCGGGUUGUAAAGCUCUGUCUUCUCUGACGAAGUAUGACGGUAAGAGAGGAGGAAGCCACGGCUAACUACGUGCCAGCAGCCGCGGUAAUACGUAGGUGGCAAGCGUUGUCCGGAAUUAUUGGGCGUAAAGGGUGCGUAGGCGGUCUUUUAAGUGGGAUGUGAAAUACCUGGGCUUAACUCAGGGAUUGCAUUCCAAACUGGGAGACUAGAGUGCAGGAGAGGAAAGUGGAAUUCCCAGUGUAGCGGUGAAAUGCGUAGAGAUUGGGAGGAACACCAGUGGCGAAGGCGACUUUCUGGACUGUAACUGGCGCUGAGGCACGAAAGCGUGGGGAGCAAACAGGAUUAGAUACCCUGGUAGUCCACGCUGUAAACUAUGAGUACUAGGUGUGGGAGGCUAAGCCUUCUGUGCCGCAGUUAACACAAUAAGUACUCCGCCUGGGAAGUACGAUCGCAAGAUUAAAACUCAAAUGAAUUGACGG